UACGUAGGGUGCGAGCGUUAAUCGGAAUUACUGGGCGUAAAGCGUGCGCAGGCGGUUUUGUAAGCCAGAUGUGAAAUCCCCGGGCUUAACCUGGGAAUGGCAUUUGGGACUGCAAGGCUAGAGUGUGGCAGAGGAGACUGGAAUUCCUGGUGUAGCAGUGAAAUGCGUAGAUAUCAGGAGGAAUACCGAUGGCGAAGGCAGGUCUCUGGGCUGACACUGACGCUCAUGCACGAAAGCGUGGGGAGCAAACAGG
rnacentral:rRNA from 1 species